AACGCGAAGAACCUUACCAGGUCUUGACAUCCUCUGACACUCCUAGAGAUAGGACGUUCCCUUUGGGGACAGAGUGACAGGUGGUGCAUGGUUGUCGUCAGCUCGUGUCGUGAGAUGUUGGGUUAAGUCCCGCAACGAGCGCAACCCUUGAUCUUAGUUGCCAGCAUCCAGUUGGGCACUCUAAGGUGACUGCCGGUGACAAACCGGAGGAAGGUGGGGAUGACGUCAAAUCAUCAUGCCCCUUAUGACCUGGGCUACACACGUGCUACAAUGGAUGGUACAAAGGGCAGCGAAGCCGCAAGGUGGAGCCAAUCCCAUAAAACCAUUCUCAGUUCGGAUUGUAGGCUGCAACUCGCCUACAUGAAGCUGGAAUCGCUAGUAAUCGCGGAUCAGCAUGCCGCGGUGAAUACGUUCCCGGGUCUUGUACACACCG
rnacentral:rRNA from 1 species